UUGUGGAGGAGGACGCCGAAGGUGGGGCUGAUGACUGGGGUGAAGUCGUAACAAGGUAGCCGUACCGGAAGGUGCGGCUGGAUCACCUCCUAACAGGGAGACAACAUUGAGAUCAUGAUGUCUAUAACUAAUUUUUAGACCAUGAUCCUGUCACCUUAGGUCGAUCGGUACCUCAGAUGAAUUUCAUGAUUUAUUGGUUUCAAUAAAUAAUUGAUUUUGAUUUUAGUUCCUAAACUUGUCUAGGUCACACCCCGCAAGGGUUUUCUCCUGGGCCAUUAGCUCAGGUGGUUAGAGCGCACCCCUGAUAAGGGUGAGGUCCCUGGUUCAAGUCCAGGAUGGCCCAUCGGUGUUGGGGGUAUAGCUCAGUUGGUAGAGCGCCUGCUUUGCAAGCAGGAUGUCAGCGGUUCGAGUCCGCUUACCUCCACUGAUCACCUCCUUCAGCAGCCCAAAGAGAAUGCCAAUGCCUUGAUAUGACUUAGAUUUUGUCCGCUGAAAGAACCUAGCUUCUUAUCAUUCCUAUUUCUAAAUAGGUUGAUAGGAUGCUGGGCUCACUGCAAUUGUUUUAAUUGCAUUGAAGUUCAGUAGAACCUUGACAACUGCAUAGGUAAGUCUGGAAAGAAUAAAGCAUCUCAUGGAGGCAUUAUUCUCUAGAUAUUUCUUGGUUAAAUGCUUUUAAGUGUUUUCAAGAAAAUUUUGAGAAAAUGUGAUUCUUGAGUUAGAGCCGAGACUCUAUAGAUUUUUCUAUAGAGAAAAUUUGGUCAAGCUACAA
rnacentral:misc_RNA from 1 species